rnacentral:tRNA from 1 species
GGAGAUGUAGCUCAGUUGGUAGACCUCUUGCCUGGCAGGCAAAAGGCCCUGGGUUUGAUUUCCAGCACCA